rnacentral:tRNA from 3 species
GCCGGAUUAGCUCAGUUGGUAGAGCAGCGCACUUGUAAUGCGAAGGUCAACAGUUCGAUUCCGUUAUCCGGCACCA